rnacentral:sRNA from 1 species
CUUUUGCAUUGUUAGUCUCGGUAUUUUCUUUUGCUCAAGAAGAAAAUGAAGUAGAACAAGAUAGUAC